UCUCCUCCAAAAUUCUUCUUUCCCAUGCCCGCAAUGCCGUCUUGCCGGACUGGAUUGCUUCCGCCGCCGGUCAAAUCCUACGCAAUAGAGCCUCCGUUAUUCCCUGGCUCUAUCUUCUACAAAUCCAACGUCUUCAAAAUAAUGAGAUGAUUCAGAUAUGCAAGCAAGAUCCAAUUACAGGAGUUUAAACGCAUGGAUUACUUCGUGCAGUUGGCUGGAGUUUGUUGAAGUUUUUCACUCCUCUUUAAGCGUUGAAGGGAGCUGAAUGUGAAGCCAUUGCAAUUUUGUAAAGGACUUUCCUGUAUUUCGAGAGGGAAUGAAAGGGAGGGCUACUGAGGAAUUGGAUCGUGUGAUGGUAGGGCACUGUUUAGUUGCCGCAGUCUGUCAACGUCUUCUUUCACCUUUAUGUCAGACUCAAUCGUUUCGGCCGACAGAGGACCCUCCUGCGUGGAAUGGAGCCCGCCAGGCUCGGCAAUGAGCCUUCUUGAUCGCGCAUAUACCCCUCUCCAAGG